GCUUGCUUGGCAACAUCUUUCCUGUAAGCUAUCUUCAGGGCAGGGCAAGCAGCCACACACUGGCCCGAGUGUCCCACAGCUCCCUGGGCUGGGAUGACAGGCUGAUGAUACCACCAGGCUCCUGCUCCCCAGAAUCCCAGGAUGGGUCAGGCUGGAAAGGACCACGCUGGCUCAGCUGGUCCAAAUUCCCUGCUCAACAGGGUCAUCCAGAGCAGGUGGUACAGGAUUAUGUCCAGACAGUUCUGGAAUAUCUCCGGUGAGGAAGACUCCACACUGUCUGGGCAAUCUGUUCAUGUGCUCGGUCUCCAAACAGGAAAGAAUUUCUUUCUCAUGUUCAGGAUUCUCAGGCUCCAUGGUUUUGGCAUAGCCAGUCCCAUCUGCAUGAAGCUGUGGUUCUAAGGCAGGCAGCUUUACUCCUGUGCUUGAUUCCUGGCUCUGUUCUUCAGAUGCUUCAGAGACUGCUGUUUGCAUCUGUCUGUUGGAGACCUUACCCUUGGAAAGCUUCAGGAUUUCGGUGUACUCACAGCUGGAGUCUCCUCCAAACUGAGAAGCUACCAUGGAUUUUAAGAGGCAGUGAACAUUCUUAACAACUUGCGUGGUGAGAUUGUCAAGGCAAGUGUGUAAACGUGCUCUGUCUGUUUCAGCUUCCUUGGAUUUGUCCUCUCGGGUGGCUCUUCUGUCAACAGGUUGCUCCUUCUUCCUGGCAGCCCUCUCUGGCUCGGAAGCUUUGGACUCCAGACGAUCCCCCAAGAUCUCCAACACCAUCGCUAGAAGCUCCUUGGCCACCAGUUCUAUUUCUUGACGGUGGUCUAGAGGUGUCUCUGUUCUCA